CUCUGUAUCAGACAAUCUUGUUUUGGCCAAUGUUCCCAACAGCUUGGAUGAAGCUUCAUUAUCAAGAGUUCCAUCCAUUAAAAGAGCUCCAUUGGUCAGUCAUUUGUCUUUUGAAAGAAAGAUGUCACUCAGAAAGGCCAACCUGGAAAAACACACACAGAUGGCCACCACUCCCAAUAACAGUCCUGACAGUGUUCUACCAAAUGGCACAUGUCUAAAAGGAACAUGUAUCAUCAAUGCAUCAAUGAAUCUACCACAAGAAGAGAAACAAGAGACUUGUACAGAUGUGUUAAGCUAUCAAUCAGGUUGCACUUCUGUAUAUCCUUGUAGUUUGACAUCAGAGGAGAGAGAAUUAUCACCCAGCAUUGCAUCAAUCACGGCUUCAGAAACAAGCAGUCUCACUGUGGAAGAGACACCACAAACAAAAACACAAAUUCCAACCUCAAAGAAUGCAGCUUCUCUUAAAACCUCAACGAAGAAGGUGAAACCGAAGGCAAGUCCAUCAUCAGAGAGAAAAGCUUAUGAUAAAAAACCUUCUUUGGGACUUUCAAAUAAUGACUCAAAGGUAUCAUCAUUACAAAGUCUUCCUAUAAAAACAACACCAGAUGGUAGUUCAAAAAAGACUGCAACACUAAACGUUAGCCCAUCAAUUGAGAGAAACCAAAAGCUCAAUAAACCAAAGUUGAAAAACAGGCUCUCACCAUAUUCUCAGUCGUUGAACGUAGGCUCUCCACCUGUUAGACACAACUCAAUGAGAAAACUGCUUUCCAGAAAUCUAUCCCUCCAAAACCCAUCAGAACCAACCAACAAAAAGAAAGUGUUGUCAGUAAGAAAAGCUACUCUUUCCAGUAAUUACACCGACAAAAAUUGUGACACCCUGUCCUCCGUGGAGGAUGAUCAAAAGCUUGGAUUUGAUCCUGUGGCAACAAAUCAAGACAAAUUGUCUGAAAUGCGAGUAUCACUACAGUCAUUUAGCACAACAAACCAGCCAAACAUGAAACCAGUUCUGGAGAAGAUUUGCUACUCAAUCAAGUCCAUCAGGAAUAUCACUCAGAGCAAACAACCUUCAUGCCUGGAGAAGUCCAACAGUAUGCCUGACUUCUCCUCCCAUGUUGCAUCUGCUUUUGGGUCUUCAUCCAAAGCACUUCUUGCUUUUUUGUCAGUCAUGACCCUAAAGGAAGGUAUGACCAGCUUUCACAUGGAUGAGCUAAAUGCAAAUAAUGUCAGCUGUGCAGAGGCUUUAAAAAUGAUUUAUUCCCUCAAAGAAAUUGCGAAC
rnacentral:lncRNA from 1 species